UAGCUUAUUUAUGUAGCCUUUAAGAAUUUCUUUCAGAAAUUAAAACAUCUGAAAGAGAAAAGUUAUUUGGCAUGAUGGAAUGAUUUGAUUGCCUACACAUUGCACAUGUAAAAUGUUAAAUACUGUUCUGUAUUAAAAGCUCAGCAUAAGUGUUUGAUUAACCUCCUUUGCUUUUGUUUUGUACAAAGGAAGAGCAGAACCUAAUCCAAAUAAAAAUAAACAAGCUGUUAAAAGCCAGUUGAAGGUGGUCAACACAAACCAAAUGAAGAUGUUGCACAUUCCACAAACAAUAAAAAAGAAGAUCAAGUUUUGUGUCCAACACACUUGGAUGAGACGUGCCCGACCCCUGACUUUGUCUACCCUACACUAAGUUGUGAUGGCACACUUCAUGACAGUAAACAUCGGUAUCAAGAUGGUGUGAUUGAUCUAUACCCUAGAAUAAGCUGUGACACUAUGAGACGUGAGGUAACACAACGAAAAAAUAACAGGAUGGAGACUACCUGAUCCUUCACCUAUGGCCUUAGCUUCAAAUGCAAGAAGUCCAGCAACUGUCUGAGUUGGUGGAUAUUCUAUCAGAGACUGCAUGAACAAUGUUAUGAACAGAAUGAUGUCUAAUUGUCUUAUGGCAAAGUUCAAUAUGAGUGGUGGUGGACAUCUGGAAAAGAAGUCUUUUAAAGGCACACCUUUGUAUUGUGUUAUUCAAGAUGCUGUGAGGAGGUGGAGCCCAAAAGCCACGGACUCGGAAAUCGAUGCAGCUAUGGCAGACCACCUCAAGCACGCUCCAGGAGGAGAGCUAGGGGUUGUGAAUACAAAAAAUAAGCCAAACAGAUGUAAUGUGUUAGAGAUAGUUCACACAAAAAUGAAAAUUGUUAUAAUUUUCUUACCCACAUGUUUCAAACCUGUAUACAUUUUUAUUUUCUGCUGAACACAACGAUUGAAUAAUGUUUGUAACCAAGCAUUUCUCACAACCCAUUAACUGUCAUAAUAUUUUUUUUUACAAUUGUAGUAAUGGGUUGUGAGAUCUGCUUUUUUAAAAACAUUCUUUCAAAUAUCUUUGUGUUCCGCAGAACAUAGAAAGGUAUACAGGCUUGAAACAUGAGAGGGAGUAAAUGACUAAAUAUUCAUUUUUGGGUGAACUAUCCCUUUAUAUAAUAAAGUAUUUUGAAAUUGUUAUUAUAGUUAAAAAAAUAAAAGUCCUAAAUCAGAA